GGUGCACCCGGAUGAUGGUCUUCCAACGACCGUUUUAUUAUACAGGUCGGUGGGACUUUCGUCCGUUUGCAAC
rnacentral:pre_miRNA from 1 species